rnacentral:rRNA from 1 species
AUUGAACGCUGGCGGAAUGCUUUACACAUGCAAGUCGAACGGCAGCACGGACUUCGGUCUGGUGGCGAGUGGCGAACGGGUGAGUAAUGUAUCGGAACGUGCCCAGUCGUGGGGGAUAACGUAGUGAAAAUUACGCUAAUACCGCAUACGAUCUAUGGAUGAAAGCGGGGGAUCGCAAGACCUUGCGCGAUUGGAGCGGCCGAUAUCAGAUUAGGUCGUUGGUGGGGUAAAGGCUCACCAAGCCAACGAUCUGUAGCUGGUCUGAGAGGACGACCAGCCACACCGGAACUGAGACACGGUCCAGACUCCUACGGGAGGCAGCAGUGGGGAAUUUUGGACAAUGGGCGCAAGCCUGAUCCAGCCAUUCCGCGUGCAGGAUGAAGGCCCUCGGGUUGUAAACUGCUUUUGUACAGAACGAAAAGGUUUCUACUAAUACUAGGAGCUCAUGACGGUACUGUAAGAAUAAGCACCGGCUAACUACGUGCCAGCCGCCGCCGUAA